UACGUAGGUGGCAAGCGUUGUCCGGAUUUAUUGGGCGUAAAGGGAACGCAGGCGGUCUUUUAAGUCUGAUGUGAAAGCCUUCGGCUUAACCGAAGUAGUGCAUUGGAAACUGGAAGACUUGAGUGCAGAAGAGGAGAGUGGAACUCCAUGUGUAGCGGUGAAAUGCGUAGAUAUAUGGAAGAACACCAGUGGCGAAAGCGGCUCUCUGGUCUGUAACUGACGCUGGGGUUCGAAAGCGUGGGUAGCAAACAGG
rnacentral:rRNA from 1 species